UGAGGAAUAUUGGUCAAUGGGCGAGAGCCUGAACCAGCCAAGUAGCGUGCAGGAUGACGGCCCUAUGGGUUGUAAACUGCUUUUAUGCGGGGAUAAAGGAGUCCACGUGUGGAUUUUUGCAGGUACCGCAUGAAUAAGGACCGGCUAAUUCCGUGCCAGCAGCCGCGGUAAUACGGAAGGUCCGGGCGUUAUCCGGAUUUAUUGGGUUUAAAGGGAGCGUAGGCCGCGUUUUAAGCGUGUUGUGAAAUGUAGACGCCCAACGUCUGCAUCGCAGCGCGAACUGGGACGCUUGAGUACGCGCAACGUUGGCGGAAUUCGUCGUGUAGCGGUGAAAUGCUUAGAUAUGACGAGGAACUCCGAUUGCGAAGGCAGCUGACGGGAGCGGCACUGACGCUUAAGCUCGAAGGUGCGGGUAUCAAACAGG
rnacentral:rRNA from 1 species